UGAGGGAAUAUUGGGUCAGUGGGGCGCGAGCCUGAACCAGCCAAGUAGCGUGCGGGAGGAAGGCCCUAUGGGUUGUAAACCGCUUUUACCGGGGGAUAAAGUGAGCGACGUGUCGCUCAUUGCAGGUACCCGGCGAAUAAGGACCGGCUAAUUCCGUGCCAGCAGCCGCGGUAAUACGGAAGGUCCGGGCGUUAUCCGGAUUUAUUGGGUUUAAAGGGAGCGUAGGCCGGAUGUCAAGCGUGUUGUGAAAUGCCGGGGCUCAACCUUGGCACUGCAGCGCGAACUGGCGUCCUUGAGUGC
rnacentral:rRNA from 1 species